rnacentral:tRNA from 2 species
UCGGGUAUAGUGUAGCGGUAACAUACAUGACUCUCACUCAUGAGCCCGGGGUUCGACUCCCCGUAUCCGAA